rnacentral:tRNA from 1 species
UCCCUGGUGGCUCAGAUGGUAAAGCAUCUGCCUAUAAUGUGGGAGACCCAGGUUCAAUCCCUGGGUUGGGAA